AUUGAUGAACUUCUUUAUUAUGAAGAACACAAUGUUUGGGACUAAUAUCAUUAGUUGAAGGAGUAAGUAUUACACCCAAACGUUCUGUUCCACACAAUGCGUUUCACUUCUGAAUGUUUUUCUAAGAGUUGAUACAUACACUUGCCUUGUAUAUAUGGUUGAUGCACGUCGAGUGUCUCAGAAACGCGGGAUCUGCAGGUAUUAGAGCUGAAUACAGUUGUGAUUUGACGAAUUCUUUUUCUUUUGACUCUUCCUCUUAUUUCGUUUUUCAGCUUAGCAUUGUGUAUACACAACGUAAUUAACGGAUUCUGACAUCAGCCACAUAUCUCGGACCACCCCACGAGUCUCUCUUAACCGUUCAAUUAACGUUCCGCUUGGUGUUGCCACACCUGUCCGCCAUCUGCUGUUGAGAUACUGUAACGGUUCUCGUCUGAAAAGAGGACUUCUCCCACUGCUGGUGCUGUGCUACCCACUGAAGACGGUCCAGGAAACAAAGAAGAAGACUGAAAGGAUACCACUGGGAGUGCUUCAGUGAGGACCUCAGUGACCGUUCUCCAUCACAGUAGGUGCUCAGCGGAGGGGACUACCUCACCCUUGAGAGGCAGAAACAAGCCAAUCAUGCACUUACGAGAUGGACCUACACCAAGUUCCAGAUUACAAGGACUUGUUCCAAAGAUGGAAGAGUUCCAUAACGAAGCUGAAUUUCUAAAGGUUAUAUGGAAACACUUGUACUCGUCCUCCUCUAACAAGUCUGUUUGGCACUCUGCAUGCUGCAAAGGAGCACAAUAAAUGCGGUGAAUGUUACUCAGGAUCCUCAUGACAACUUUUACCCAUGCUCUGAAUUCAUGGACAAGGUCACCACCGCCUACAUCGUAACUCGGGGACUACAUUACUUCCAAAUGGAACACCUCACUUCUGUCCCAACGUCAAGUUACAUGGGUGCUGUUGGCAAUCCAUAUAAAAUGAUUGAUUAUUUUCUAGGUCAUGCAGCAAAACAGUUUGUAGACAAGCACGUCUUACCGGAGGUUCCUCAACAGCCAGGUCAUGGUCUCCAAAUCAAACACACUAGCCUGCAGGUACUGUGGAAAACUGUACCAGAGACCAAAAGCUCUCCGCAAACACGAAGCAUCCGGAAUAUAAUGCUGAAAACAAUCAGGAUUCCACAUCUUCAGCAGAAUCAAGAUCAUCUAUUUAUCAGUACACCCGUCUGUCUCUCAUGCUUGGGCUUCUUCGAAUAAAUCACAACGAUUCCAUUCACAUGGGAGAUGGUGGCAGGCAUGAUGAGACUAGUAAAGUGGUUCUGUUUAUACUACAAGGCAAGCAAAUGUCCAAAGUAUGCAUAUGGUCUCCUUUGAAACACAGGCAAAGGCAUAUGCUCUCCUAUAUGAACGGCAGGCUUUAUAGAUUGAUAUGGAACCGCACAGUCAACCAUCAAGGCAGAGAAGACACCAAUCAUCCCAUCGACCUUGACUUGGAGCAUUGCAACAGGGCUUUCAAAGAUGAUGUACACACAUACAAGGGGAGGUACACAGAUAAAAGACGAUUCUCAAAGUCAGCAGAAGUGCGCUGUCAAUGGAAGAAUUAUGCCAAAAAUACGACAAAUUGGCAUUCCGCAAGAAAUGUUCGGGAAGGCAUGGAGUUGUUGAUCCUUCUUGGUGAUAUUCUUAAACUUGUAGAACAAUUCCAUUCCUAUGCAGCUCUAUUCAAUGAGGCCAACAAGCCACUGCCACAGAGAAAUCAAAAACAUGCUGAGUGACAUCCAAAAUUGGAUUUCAGAAAGUCUUAAAGUCUUCAGUAGCCGCACAUACUAUAACAUCUGAACCUUUUUUCCCGAUGUGUAAUUCAGUGUCACAUGAUUAAAACGAGACCCUGUUGCAAAGUCGCUAUCACUGUAUGUUUCAUGAUCUUCAUGUUCUGAGUCUGAGUGAGAUGAUGAGCUAUCACUCGAGUCAAGGGAAGUUUUGUACAACUCAAGAAUAUCACAUCUACAUUCACUACAUGGGGUAAUUGCAUGUCCAUGAGUCUCUGCAGUCACAGAGACACUUGCAAGAUAUGGCACAGUUGUCCAUAGCACUCAUGACUUCAGUAAAGCUCAACUCGUCGACAUACGUUGGUUCUGACAUACUGUUUCAUUUCAUCCGAAAUAUUCCGCCUGCCACUGAGACAUCGUCUAAAUUUCAUGAGAAGAGCAUGUGCCUGCUUUUCUGGAUCCCUGCCUGCUCCGUCCUUGUCUCUUGAAUAUAAUCCUCAACAUUAUUGGCUGGACCAUAGUGGAUGACGGUUUCCACACUUUCUUAGCAUUGUGUAUACACAACGUAAUUAACGGAUUCUGACAUCAGCCACAUAUCUCGGACCACCCCACGAGUCUCUCUUAACCGUUCAAUUAACGUUCCGCUUGGUGUUGCCACACCUGUCCGCCAUCUGCUGUUGAGAUACUGUAACGGUUCUCGUCUGAAAAGAGGACUUCUCCCACUGCUGGUGCUGUGCUACCCACUGAAGACGGUCCAGGAAACAAAGAAGAAGACUGAAAGGAUACCACUGGGAGUGCUUCAGUGAGGACCUCAGUGACCGUUCUCCAUCACAGUAGGUGCUCAGCGGAGGGGACUACCUCACCCUUGAGAGGCAGAAACAAGCCAAUCAUGCACUUACGAGAUGGACCUACACCAAGUUCCAGAUUACAAGGACUUGUUCCAAAGAUGGAAGAGUUCCAUAACGAAGCUGAAUUUCUAAAGGUUAUAUGGAAACACUUGUACUCGUCCUCCUCUAACAAGUCUGUUUGGCACUCUGCAUGCUGCAAAGGAGCACAAUAAAUGCGGUGAAUGUUACUCAGGAUCCUCAUGACAACUUUUACCCAUGCUCUGAAUUCAUGGACAAGG